rnacentral:rRNA from 1 species
GACGAACGCUGGCGGCGUGCCUAAUACAUGCAAGUAGAACGCUGAAGGAGGAGCUUGCUUCUCUGGAUGAGUUGCGAACGGGUGAGUAACGCGUAGGUAACCUGCCUGGUAGCGGGGGAUAACUAUUGGAAACGAUAGCUAAUACCGCAUAAUAGUAGAUGUUGCAUGACAUUUACUUAAAAGGUGCAAUUGCAUCACUACCAGAUGGACCUGCGUUGUAUUAGCUAGUUGGUGGGGUAACGGCUCACCAAGGCGACGAUACAUAGCCGACCUGAGAGGGUGAUCGGCCACACUGGGACUGAGACACGGCCCAGACUCCUACGGGAGGCAGCAGUAGGGAAUCUUCGGCAAUGGACGGAAGUCUGACCGAGCAACGCCGCGUGAGUGAAGAAGGUUUUCGGAUCGUAAAGCUCUGUUGUAAGAGAAGAAACGAGCGUGAGAAGUGGAAAGUUCA